rnacentral:rRNA from 1 species
GCAGCCAUCAUUUAAAGAAAGCGUAAUAGCUCACUGGUCGAGUCGGCCUGCGCGGAAGAUGUAACGGGGCUAAACCAUGCACCGAAGCUGCGGCAGCGACACUCAGGUGUUGUUGGGUAGGGGAGCGUUCUGUAAGCCUGCGAAGGUGGCCUGUGAGGGUUGCUGGAGGUAUCAGAAGUGCGAAUGCUGACAUAAGUAACGAUAAAGCGGGUGAAAAGCCCGCUCGCCGGAAGACCAAGGGUUCCUGUCCAACGUUAAUCGGGGCAGGGUGAGUCGACCCCUAAGGCGAGGCCGAAAGGCGUAGUCGAUGGGAAACGGGUUAAUAUUCCCGUACUUGGUGUUACUGCGAAGGGGGGACGGAGAAGGCUAUGUUGGCCGGGCGACGGUUGUCCCGGUUUAAGCGUGUAGGUGUGUGUUCCAGGUAAAUCCGGUUCACUUUAACACUGAGGCGUGAUGACGAGGCACUACGGUGCUGAAGCAACAAAUGCCCUGCUUCCAGGAAAAGCCUCUAAGCAUCAGGUAACAUCAAAUCGUACCCCAAACCGACACAGGUGGUCAGGUAGAGAAUACCAAGGCGCUUGAGAGAACUCGGGUGAAGGAACUAGGCAAAAUGGUGCCGUAACUUCGGGAGAAGGCACGCUGACA